UAUGGCCAUAUCACAUUGAAACACCUGGUUCUCAUAUGAUCACCGAAGUUAAGCAACAUUGAACCUGGCAGCACCUAGAUGGGUGUCUACUUGGGAAUACUAGGUGC